rnacentral:rRNA from 2 species
GAUUAUGGCUCAGGAUGAACGCUAGCUACAGGCUUAACACAUGCAAGCCGAGGGGAAACGAUAGAGAAAGCUUGCUUUUUCUAGGCGUCGACCGGCGCACGGGUGAGUAACGCGUAUCCAACCUGCCCAUCACUUGGGGAUAACCUUGCGAAAGUAAGACUAAUACCCAAUGAUAUCUCAAGAAGACAUCUGAAAGAGAUUAAAGAUUUAUCGGUGAUGGAUGGGGAUGCGUCUGAUUAGCUUGUUGGCGGGGUAACGGCCCACCAAGGCGACGAUCAGUAGGGGUUCUGAGAGGAAGGUCCCCCACAUUGGAACUGAGACACGGUCCAAACUCCUACGGGAGGCAGCAGUGAGGAAUAUUGGUCAAUGGGCGAGAGCCUGAACCAGCCAAGUAGCGUGCAGGAUGACGGCCCUAUGGGUUGUAAACUGCUUUUAUAAGGGAAUAAAGUGAGCCUCGUGAGGCUUUUUGCAUGUACCUUAUGAAUAAGGACCGGCUAAUUCCGUGCCAGCAGCCGCGGUAAUACGGAAGGUCCGGGCGUUAUCCGGAUUUAUUGGGUUUAAAGGGAGCGUAGGCCGGAGAUUAAGCGUGUUGUGAAAUGUAGAUGCUCAACAUCUGCACUGCAGCGCGAACUGGUUUCCUUGAGUACGCACAAAGUGGGCGGAAUUCGUGGUGUAGCGGUGAAAUGCUUAGAUAUCACGAAGAACUCCGAUUGCGAAGGCAGCUCACUGGAGCGCAACUGACGCUGAAGCUCGAAAGUGCGGGUAUCGAACAGGAUUAGAUACCCUGGUAGUCCGCACGGUAAACGAUGGAUGCCCGCUGUUGGUCUGAAUAGGUCAGCGGCCAGGGGAAAGCAUUAAGCAUCCCACCUGGGGAGUACG